ACUGUCAUCUACCUCGCCCCACCCACCUCAGGCAGAGUCAAGGCAGACCUGUGUCUCUAUUCUUCGCCGCCCAAGGAGAAUCCACCAGACGGAGCAAAGGCGGACGAACAGCCCGCUCGCCGUGGAGCUGGUCGACGGCGGCUAGGCUUACCCUCCUCCGUCAGUCAGCCGGGGCAGGCCUAAGCAAGAGGAUUUCUAAUCAAGGGGCCUUAGUUCUAGACGGUGAAGAUGUUCGAUUUAUUUAGUGGGAUUCAAGCAGCUAUGGUUAUCAAUCGAGUAGAGAACAGCGAGCAGUCACCUAAAGAUUGGAAUAGCGACUGUGAUGGAUCCGGUGGUUCAUCAGGUUUGCCAGGCACGCCGUGCUUUACGUCCAGGCUAUCUUUGCUCAAAGUUGGUUCGGUCAUAGGCCAGUUUAGUGAGUUUAAGCGACAGUUAAUCAAGGAAACCGGAUUCGAUGGAAUGCUAGAGCUCAAAUCAUGGCAGAAGAUCAGCCUUAAGUACAACGCUUACCUAAUGGAUAGGGUUGAUGUAGAUUAAACUCUUUAAUUAUGUUUUUGGCAUCCCAUGUGGUAAUACGGUCAUAGAAGGUGAAGGCGUGGAGCCGUCAGAAGCAUGUAUUGAGUACACGCGUGUGGCUGCAUCAUUUAGCGAAAGAGGCACGCACAGUCUUAAAGCGGCUGAGGCGUACUUAAAUCGAGCCAUCACAGAAUCAUCCACACAGAUAGAGAAGGACUGUUUCAAGAUUGCAUUUGUUAUUUUUGUAGUCGGUCAUGUACUUGCUCCUACUGCUAAGCACGAUUAUAUAUCGAUAGACUUUUGGGCUGCACUGAAUGAUAUCAGCAAGAUAAAGGAUUGGAAUUGGGGAGGAUAUGUACUGAAGCAUCUGUUCCAAGCUGUGAGGAAGUUCAAAGCAGAUGUGUCCAAGAGAAACCCAACUGUCCACAUAGUUGGCUGUCAUCUGUUCCUGCAGAUAGUCUUGAUCUAGGCGUUCUAAACAUGUUGCGAGGUGUAACACCGCGGAUAGGUCUGUACAACUAUGAUGCGAUGAAGAAGAUGGUGGAAAAAAUUACAGUCAAUGUUGGUGCAGGUGAAGUUUCCUUCCACGGUGCAACGGUAUGGACCGAGCUGUCAGUGAGCAAUCUAAUUGGCUUCCCUUCUAAGGAAUGUCCCACAGCAAAGCCGGCACCGGCUCCCAAGAGGGGAAACGCCACAUGCACGCUGAUGUUGCGAAGUAGUUAUGCCAAAAAUGGUCCGUAGGAGUUUUCAAAUUACAUACGAACACGCUACCCAAGUAUAUCAGCGCAGAAGCUUGGUAUACUUCUACAGGAGCAGAAUGCUCGCGGCCUAGAAAACAUAUCAGAAAUGCGUCAAGCGUUCCAGUCCAAUAUGUUUAAUUUCACAGACAAGCUUAUGUCAUGCUUAGCAGAGAGUUGCACUUGUUGUAAGGCACAUGGCAACAAAAAAUGCAUCUUGGAAAAUGAAGGAACAAAUACUUGCGACCCCCCCUCAUGUAUCAACAGAUCAAACUCAAUUCUGCACGCCGUUAGCCAGCAAGAUUGGACCCCGACUACCAGCACCAGGCAACCCUGGAGGUUGCCUGUCUGUCAAUAGUUCCGUGUCUAGGAAAAGGGAUGGCAGUUUAUCAUCAAGCAUACAGUCGGGCACAACAAAGAAAACAUGUUCACGAGAGACAGAGACCGCCCUCGCCGCAACACCAACAUGUGGGCAAGAACCACUCAAUCAAAUCCCCAUAUCCCAGGAUGCAAUUGUCAAGGAAUUUGCGAGCAAAAUUGCUGCUUUUUAUGAUGACCUUACAGCCAUCUUGGUUACUUACUAUGCUGAGAUACGUCCAGCACCCGGAUUCAUAUUGUUUGGAUCAACCACCGAUGGAGCACAUUUGAAGAUCGAUCUCCCUCAAUGCAAAUUUGGAAGAGAUCCUUGGGUCGCCGGAUCAGUCCCAGUGCCACCAAACCCAACUAUACUCAGGGCCAUAAAAGACUAGAUGAGUGCAACCUCGAUGUUAAACCUUGAG